rnacentral:rRNA from 1 species
GACGAACGCUGGCGGCGUGCCUAAUACAUGCAAGUCGAGCGAAGUUUUUCUGGUGCUUGCACUAGAAAAACUUAGCGGCGAACGGGUGAGUAACACGUAAAGAACCUGCCUCAUAGACUGGGACAACUAUUGGAAACGAUAGCUAAUACCGGAUAACAGUAUUUCUCGCAUGAGAGAUAUUUAAAAGUUGGUUAUGCUAACACUAUGAGAUGGCUUUGCGGUGCAUUAGCUAGUUGGUGGGGUAAAGGCCUACCAAGGCGACGAUGCAUAGCCGACCUGAGAGGGUGAUCGGCCACACUGGGACUGAGACACGGCCCAGACCCCUACGGGAGGCAGCAGUAGGGAAUCUUCCGCAAUGGGCGAAAGCCUGACGGAGCAACGCCGCGUGAGUGAAGAAGGAUUUCGGUUCGUAAAGCUCUGUUGUUAGGGAAGAAUGGAUAUGUAGUAACUAUACAUGUACGAGACGGUACCUAACCAGAAAGCCACGGCUAACUACGUGCCAGCAGCCGCGGUAAUACGUAGGUGGCAAGCGUUGUCCGGAAUUAUUGGGCGUAAAGCGCGCGCAGGUGGUUUAAUAAGUCUGAUGUGAAAGCCCACGGCUCAACCGUGGAGGGUCAUUGGAAACUGUUAAACUUGAGUGCAGGAGAGAAAAGUGGAAUUCCUAGUGUAGCGGUGAAAUGCGUAGAGAUUAGGAGGAACACCAGUUGGCGAAGGCGGCUUUUUUGGCUGUAACUUGACACUGGGGCGCGAAAGCGUGGGGAGCAAUAGG